rnacentral:siRNA from 1 species
UGUGGCAGCCAAGCGUUCAUA